rnacentral:lncRNA from 1 species
UAGUGUUCAUCAUGGCAAGCAGAUGGCACCAGGACAAAUGGAGCCCCUGCCAUGUGAAUCAUAGCAGUGCAGGAGGGGAGACCCUAAAGGAGAUAGCCUACUUAAGUUGAUGCCUGCAGAGUGAAUUCCAUAGGCUUAGGAAGAGGAGAAGUUCUCCA